rnacentral:rRNA from 1 species
UUUCGCAAUGCCCGAAAGGGUGACGAAGCGACGCCGCGUGGGUGGGGAAGGCCUUCGGGUUGUAAAGCCCUGUCAGGAGUUAAGAAAUGUAAGUGCGCUAAUACCGCAUUUAUUUGACGAAGGCUCCAAAGGAAGUCACGGCUAACUCUGUGCCAGCAGCCGCGGUAAUACAGAGGUGGCAAGCGUUGUUCGGAAUUAUUGGGCGUAAAGAGCACGUAGGUGGGUUUGUAAGUCAGAUGUGAAAGCCUCCUGUUCAACGGGAGAAUUGCAUCUGAAACUACAGAUCUUGAGUGUAGGAGGGGAGAAUGGAACUUCUGGUGGAGCGGUGAAAUGCGUAGAUAUCAGAAGGAACGCCGGCGGCGAGAGCGAUUCUCUGGCCUAUUACUGACACUCAGUGUGCGAAAGCUAGGGUAGCAAACGGGAUUAGAUACCCCGGUAGUCCUAGCCGUAAACGAUGGGCACUAAGUAGAGGGGUUUU